GUUGUAUGGUUAAGUGACUAAGCGUACACGGUGGAUGCCUUGGCAGUCAGAGG
rnacentral:rRNA from 1 species